GGUUUUAUAUUUGUUUGAUAUUAUGUCCUUUUGUUUACCGUUCCCUCUGCUUCUUUCUCAAUGAUCAGUCUUUUGAUCUCUCCAUCACGUUUGCAGUUCUGCUCCCAGCUUUCUCGUUUGCGCUUCCCAAGUCUUUGUUUGCGAUUCUGACACAAAGCUAUCGCGUGGGCGGGUCUUACAGGGGUGCGUCCCCAUUGGCUAAUGCGUAUUUGGAGUAUUUUUGAGUGACAGCUCAGUGCCUGCCGGCCCCCUGACGUUUCAGUGCAGUUAACUUAAGAGAUUUUGGAUGACACACAAACCACUCCACAGCGGAUUCCUACAAGAUUAAUAAAAUAAUAAUGAAACAUUGUGGGACGUGCAGGACCCCGAGCAGAGCAGAGCUACAAUGCUGUCCCAGGUAACGUUAGCUAGCUCACAUCAGGCAGCAGGCAGUCCAACCAGGAGGACGUGGUAGCAGCAGAAGGAGAGGAGCCCUCGGUCUCUCUGUGGAGGAAACACUGUUUGCUAAGGCUUCUAACAGCCAGGGUAUAGACCAAUAGAGUAUGUAUUGAUCAUAUUUUACUGAGAUACUCAAUUAACACUUACAAUAACCUUUUUCUUAAGUUUAUUUUCAUUUGUGUACUUGUAGUUUCUAAGUCCAUUGUAUAUCAAUAUAUACAGUAUA